CCUUCGCCACGCCCGCUACAGAAACUACGAAAGGAAUUGACGGGACCCCGCACAAGCGGUGGAUCAUGUUGUUUAAUUCGAUGAUACGCGAAGAACCUUACCAGGUCUUGACAUCCCCCGCGAUGCUUUAGAGAUAAAGCGGAGGUAUUCGGGGAGACAGGUGGUGCAUGGUUGUCGUCAGCUCGUGUCGUGAGAUGUUGGGUUAAGUCCCGCAACGAGCGCAACCCCUAUUGCUAGUUACCAUCAUUAAGUUGGGGACUCUAGCGAGACUGCCAGUGAUAAACUGGAGGAAGGUGGGGAUGACGUCAAAUCAUCAUGCCCCUUAUGACCUGGGCUACAAACGUGAUACAAUGGCUGGAACAAAGGGAUGCGAAGCAGUGAUGUGGAGCGAAACCCAUAAAAACAGUCUCAGUUCGGAUUGAAGUCUGCAACUCGACUUCAUGAAGUCGGAAUCGCUAGUAAUCGCGGAUCAGAACGCCGCGGUGAAUACGUUCUCGGGGUUU
rnacentral:rRNA from 1 species